rnacentral:rRNA from 1 species
AUUGAACGCUGGCGGCAUGCUUUACACAUGCAAGUCGAACGGCAGCGCGGGCUUCGGCCUGGCGGCGAGUGGCGAACGGGUGAGUAAUACAUCGGAACGUGCCCAGUAGUGGGGGAUAGCUCGGCGAAAGCCGGAUUAAUACCGCAUACGACCUGAGGGUGAAAGCGGGGGAUCUUCGGACCUCGCGCUAUUGGGGCGGCCGAUGGCAGAUUCGCUAGUUGGUGGGGUAAAGGCCUACCAAGGCGACGAUCUGUAGCUGGUCUGAGAGGACGACCAGCCACACUGGGACUGAGACACGGCCCAGACUCCUACGGGAGGCAGCAGUGGGGAAUUUUGGACAAUGGGCGAAAGCCUGAUCCAGCAAUGCCGCGUGUGUGAUGAAGGCCUUCGGGUUGUAAAGCACUUUUGGCGGGAACGAAAAGGACUGUGCCAAUACCACGGUUCGAUGACGGUACCCGCAGAAUAAGCACCGGCUAACUACGUG